CUGACAGUAUCUAAAGUAAUAUAAAGACAGUUUGAUAAACUGGUUAACAAUGUUUAUUUUUUCAUUUCAGCUAAUAUGCCGUGCGAAAAAGCAAAAUAAAUAUUUCAUUUUAAUGUUUAUUAAGCUGAACCGACAUUAUAUUUUUCAUCUAAAACGUUUUUGAUGUGUUUUUUUCUCAUCGCGUUUAGGCGUCGUGUAUCAGAUUGCAACUGCUAAUAAUUUCGUCGUCUGAGGCGGACUGUUAUGGAGGUACCAAAUCUUCAGUGAUGAUGAAUGCGUUCACGCUUCUACGAGCCGGUAAUUGGCGGUAUCCAGAUUAUCGUCGUACUUAUCGAUUAUCGUUAGCUUACCUAAGCUACCGAAAUUAGCGACAGUGUAAAAUGCAAGAGAAAGACAAAUUGACGAUUAAAGUAAUAUAAUUAAAAUUAAUGGUUUACAUGGAUUGCGCUCCACUAACAAUAUCUUUCUCUUAUAGUUUUAUUUAAGCUGUGCUGUGAGAAUUUCAGCUGGCUCUCACAACCGUCCGGAAGUCGCAGUAAUUUGGUAACAUCAAGAUCAUCACCACCGUACGAAGCGCAGCAUAUUGGAGCAAGCCCAAGCGGACAGCAACCAUCUGCAGCAAACGUACGCCGAACGAAUGGACGUGGUAGACGCGUUAUGAUUGCGAGGCGAUACUUGCGCUCUGAAAUUGCUAGCACAGAUGUUUGGGCCACAGAGUUUCAGAUAGACCGUUCUCAUCAAUGCCACACCAUGUACGGUCGGUUAGUUACGCUUCAUCACGAAGGACAAUCAUAUCUGGGUAACGGAAUGCUGCCAAAACGAUGAAGCUGGCUUAGACCUCGAUGACGACAACAAAUUGUUUGAACAUGUUCAACAAACAAACAUGUUGUUUUGGCUUCUCAUAAUUAAUGGUGAAUGCUGCAAAUCUCCGUGAUAAACGUUUUCGUGCGCUGAAUAAGGUUUGUAUGAAAAAUAGUGUAUUUUUAGAAUAUUUUAUUUUUCAAUAAAGUAACGGUAAAUUUGAAAUACACUGUGUUGAUAAACAACCCGAAUGAAAGAAAUACACGGAUAAACUAAUGUAAACAAUACACGAAAGAACGGGAGGUCCGUUUCAUCCGUACCCCCCCACGCCCAAUCAUGUCUUCCGUUGGGCGCCUGAGCCAUGCACGGUUGGGCGCCCGUUUCUCCUCCUCCGGCGCCGUCAGUUUAGCUGUUAAUUGCCUGCCGGGUAUUCUUUAAAAAUAUAUUUUGGACUUUGCGACUUCUUAUUAAACAUUAGAACAUGGAUUAAAGUGUGUUAUUUUGUGUUAUUCCAUGAAUUUAUUCCAUAAUUCAUUGUGUUUUCGACAUUUUUGAAUAUAAAAACUAAGAAAUCUUUUUGUUUUCAAUUUUUACAUUAAUUCCUCAUUAUCUACAAGCCGCAUCGAAAAUUUACGUAUUUAAUCGAUAAAAUCAAUAGACACACAAAAAUGCACAUAAUAACAAAGAAAUCUGUUCUAUUUGCUAAGCUUUGUGUGCGGAAACCAAUGGUUAACGGUUCAAAAAUGACGUAAAGUCCCUCAACUAUGGCGACCCCCCAAAGGCCCUAAUCCACCACCUGAUAUUGUUAAUCCACCUUGAAGCAGAACUCAGAGAAGAAGCUUUAAAUGAACUGGCGCUCAGUGACGUCACGGAUCGCACUGAAUCCCAUCUAAAGAAUUUUAUGUUCAAACCUGCUCGAGUCAACACCACACCCGCUGUCAAAAUUAAAUUAAAACGAAACUCUUUUGUUUACUUUUUAUUCAAAGAUAACCGCGUCGCUUUUCGUGCGCUUAUAAAACUCAGUUUUAUUGUAGAUUUCUGUGUACCAACUUGAUUUCCUUGCUACCUAUCUGUGUUACCUGUAAGUAUGGAGAUAAAUAUUAAAAAUAAGACAUUUUAAAGACAUGCAAAACUCAUAUACUUAACUUUUACAGCUGUGAUUGUGGGUGGUUGUUGUGUGCAUUUCGAUCGGGAGUUGCUAAUUGUUGUUCACCUGUAAAACCUGUUACCAUGAGCGGUUCGAAUGUGGGAGCUACUAGCUGUGGAUGCGGGCAAGAAUGCAAUUGCACAAGCAUUGCUAACGAAAAUGCCAAACAAUUACAUACUUUAAAAAAUUUGAUACUAGAUGCAAAUAUGAAAUUAGACGAGCUUAUGGAAAUACAACUAAAUCAACAAAUCCAGCCUCAGGCAAUUAAUGAAAAUGUGGUGCUGGAAGAAGUAAUUGAAGAAGCUUUCGCGGUAAUUUCAUCCAAAGUAGAUUUGGACAAACUCGAGCAGGAUUUGGUGGUGACGGAGCAUUACCGAUCGAUUAAAUCAGGUCUCAUGAAAAGGAUCAAGUCGGUUGGGAUUAAAGCAAGGCUGCAUGACGCUCUGUAUCUAGUUUUUAAUAGAAUUUUUCUAUCUGAGUGCUCUUGGAGCGGAAUCGGUCGCAGCGGACCUAAAAUUGAAUUUAGGAAAUAUGUACACAUUCUACAACUAUUUAAGGAAAUUUCAGGCAGCAGAGAUUAUUCGGAAGUAGAGAAAUUUUUCAGUACAAAGUUACGAAAUGCAGGAACAGCAGCAAAAAGGACCGGAGUGGUCAAAAGCGUUAGUCGAGGACAAUACUCGAAAAAAAAGACAUGUAAUAUAAAGAAUUAAUACUGUAAAUAGUACUUAACGUAGAUAUAGGUAAGAAAGUAUGUUGAACUUAAUUUUAAUGGUGUAGAUAAAGAAUUUGUGAAAUAUUAACCAUUUUAAGUAAUACUUAUAAGUUGUGCACUGGCUGUGCAUUCUUUAAUUCACAGUUGCAAGCAGUUAAGUUUGUUGUUUUAAGUGAAUAGCGAAGAUUUAUAUGAAUGUGAAGACAAGUAGAAGAAUAAAUUGAUUAUGAAACGUUCGAUGGUUAUGUUCUUAUUUUUUCUUAAUAAUAUUUAGUUAUUUCAAAUUUUGUGAUAUUUGUGGGGCUUGGCUAAAACGAUGUUGUACUUAUUUAAAACAAUACAAUAAUAUAAUUUAUUAAUCCUAAGCCCUUUUUGUGUGUGACCGUCCGCUCGGCUGCCUUAUUCCAAGAGAGCACGAUCGUCCUUUCGAUCGUGCUGAGUGGCCUCUCGGCUCGCUGAGUGACCAGCCAGUCGGAGCCGAACUGUUUGCGCAGGUUGGCUUAUCGCAUUCGC